rnacentral:lncRNA from 1 species
GGCGGAGAAGAUGGAUGUAUCCUAAAUUUCCAUGAACAAUGAGUUUGGGACAUUGGAUCAGCUGGAUUUCAUCGUUGUUGACCGUGACAUUACCCUGGUAGAAAUCUUUGAGGGCUGAUUCAUGAAAGUAUUUUCUACGUAAGUUGAGAUCAAGCGAUAUGAUUAAGCUCUUCGCUCAUUUAGCUACUGUGUUAUUGCAUCAUUGAAGUUGAUGGAUUGGGAAUUUUGAGGCUAAAGAAUUGGAGCAACUACUGCAAGAAACAUAUUAAGCGCAUUAGGAAAACGUUUAGCUUAUCCUAUUAUCUACCAAUAUGUAGCAGGUAGAAUGUGGUCCUACAAGUUAGUUAGUAUUCUGCUGCACUCGAACCGUACAAUUAGAAGCAAGCAACUCGUAGGCUACAAAAUGUGGACCAGAAAAGGACCUUCUGUUCGGCUUCUUGUGGUAGAAAUGUAGUUGCAUCCUUUGUGCAAAGAAGAAUUUACCUUUCUUUGAAUCUAUCUAUUGUUGGAUUAGCUCC